rnacentral:rRNA from 1 species
GCUGGCGGCGCGCUUAACACAUGCAAGUCGAGCGAGAACCAGGGCUUCGGCCCUGGGGACAGCGGCGAACGGGUGAGUAACACGUGGGUAAUCCAUCCUCGGCACCGGAAUAGCCCGGGGAAACCCGGAUUAAUGCCGGAUGGCCCGCCGGCCCCUCGGGGCUGGCGGAAAAGGUAGCUUCGGCCUCCGGCCGAGGACGAGCCCGCGACGGAUUAGCUUGUUGGUGGGGUAACGGCCUACCAAGGCUGCGAUCCGUAGCUGGUCUGAGAGGACGAUCAGCCACACUGGGACUGAGACACGGCCCAGACUCCUACGGGAGGCAGCAGUGGGGAAUCUUGCGCAAUGGGCGAAAGCCUGACGCAGCGACGCCGCGUGGGGGAAGAAGGCCUUCGGGUUGUAAACCUCUUUCAGGAGGGACGAAGCCACUCGGGUUAAUAGCCCAGAGGGUGACGGUACCUCCAGAAGAAGCCCCGGCUAACUACGUGCCAGCAGCCGCGGUAAUACGUAGGGGGCAAGCGUUGUCCGGAUUUAUUGGGCGUAAAGAGCGUGUAGGCGGCCAGGUAGGUCUGCUGUGAAAACCCGAGGCUUAACCUCGAGCUGUCGGCGGAAACCAU